rnacentral:pre_miRNA from 1 species
CAUAAAUGCAGUUUUUCACUAUUCACAUUCAACGUUUGACCGUUCGUCUUAUUUAAACUUUUUUUUAUGAUUAGUAUUUUUAUUACUAUUAGAUGAUAAAACAUGAAUAAUACUUUACGUGUGACUAAAUAUUUUCAAAUUUUUUACAAAUUUUUUAAAUAAGACGGACGGUCAAACAUUGGACACGGAUAUCCACGGCUACACUUAUU